UGUAAAUGGUGUUGCUUGGUAUAAGGAACUUCUGUAUUCGUAAGGGAUUUCUGGAGCCAGAACUCAAGACCAAAGAGCAAUCUGGGGCAGAGGGAAAAUCAGAAGACAGACUAGAAUCACAAGGCGCAUCAGUGCUCCAGUAGACUUUAUUACACAAACAAAGCUCCACUGAGACAGGAAGCCCUCCUAUACUCCUUACUGCCCAGGAGCCUGGGUUGGGUCAGUUGGGUAAGUUUUUAACUAAGGCCUGUAAUGACUCAGAGCUCACCUGAGGCAAUGAUCAGCACUGGAGCAGUGGUGAGCAGUUUCUGGCUGUAUUAACAAUGAUCAAGAUCUGGGUGUUUACCCAAAAAUAAUAGAGCUGGUCAUUUAAACUGGUUUUGUUUAAACUCAAAGAGUUUAAACAAAAAUAUGUUUUUAUAAAGUUUGUUAAUUGCUUUGGUGACUCAUUAAUUUCAUUUGUAUUUUUGUAUUUAUAUUGUAUUAUAUUGGUUUGGUUACAUUGGAAACUGGUUUAUUUGCUUGGAAAAAGUAGGGUAGAACGCUUUAAAUAAAUAAGUCAGAGACCCAGAGAGAUGAAAUGCUGUUCUUGCUGUUAUAGCCAUGAGCACAUAAGAACUGCAGGAGCUAUGAGCUUAUUUAGCUGUCCAAAAUAUGCUUCUGCAUACACAGCAAACUCCUCUAGAAGCAACCUGGUUUUCCUCACACAAGGUAUCUGCUCAAAGUUCUCCUUGCACAAAAUAAAUAGCUGUCGUGUAUGCAGAGGAGGAACUUUGGACUCUGGCCAAAUACAAGUGCAUUUCACUAGAUAAGCUCAUAUUGAUUCUAGUGAGUAGCACAGAAAACCAAUGAAGUGAAGUUGAUAGGGUCUAUCACCUGGGACUUCAGUAUGUGGGUCAAAAUCCUCACUGAAUGCAGAAGUACUGGAACAGAAUAUGUACAGGACAGAAUACUACAUUUAGUUCCAGUAUGAGCUCAACCUUGGCACGCUUUUUCAAGUGGAACAUGGGAAAUGUUAACACCAUCGGGGAACCCAUUGGUGUAUCUGCCUUGAGUUUUUGAAAUACAGGAACAAGUUGGUGUGCAUGUUCAAGAUGGCGGUGUGUGCUUCAAGUAUGAACAUCAAUACUUCUGUUGAAAGACACACAAGAAACACACACACACAACCACUGGCAGUCUGAUAUCUGCCAUGAAGACUGAGACAUUGAAUUAAAACAGGUGUACAUAUUCAGUAAACAGGUCCAGUAAAUAGGUUCCACUCUUGAAAAUAGGAACACACUAAGUAUAUCGAGUGAGGGAUGAAACUGGAAUUUCCCAGCCUUCCAAGGGAAAUACAACUUUGAUGGACAAAGCAAUAGUUAAUUCAAACAUGGGAAGCUGCCCUAUAGUGAGUCAUUACACUGACUGGC